rnacentral:rRNA from 1 species
AGGUAAGCUACUAAGAGCGAAUGGUGGAUGCCUUGACUGGUAAAGGCGAUGAAGGACGUACUAGACUGCGAUAAGCUACGGGGAGCUGUCAAGAAGCUUUGAUCCGUAGAUUUCCGAAUGGGGCAACCCAAUGUAUAGAGAUAUACAUUACCUAUAUAGGAGCGAACGAGGGGAAUUGAAACAUCUUAGUACCCUCAGGAAAAGAAAUCAAUAGAGAUUGCGUCAGUAGCGGCGAGCGAAAGCGCAAGAGGGCAAACCCAGUGCUUGCACUGGGGGUUGUAGGACUGCAAUAUGCAAGAGGUAAGUUUAGCAGAACAUUCUGGAAAGUAUAACCAUAGAGGGUGAUAGUCCCGUAUGCGAAAAACAAACCUUAGCUAGCAGUAUCCUGAGUAGGGCGGGACACGAGGAAUCCUGUCUGAAUCCGGGUCGACCACGAUCCAACCCUAAAUACUAAUACCAGAUCGAUAGUGCACAAGUACCGUGAGGGAAAGGUGAAAAGAACUGAGGUGAUCAGAGUGAAAUAGAACCUGAAACCAUUUGCUUACAAUCAUUCAGAGCCCUAUGUAGCAAUACAGGGUGAUGGACUGCCUUUUGCAUAAUGAGCCUGCGAGUUGUGGUGUCUGGCAAGGUUAAGCAAACGCGAAGCCGUAGCGAAAGCGAGUCUGAAUAGGGCGCUUAGUCAGAUGCUGCAGACCCGAAACGAAGUGAUCUAUCCAUGAGCAAGUUGAAGCUAGUGUAAGAACUAGUGGAGGACUGAACCCAUAGGCGUUGAAAAGCCCCGGGAUGACUUGUGGAUAGGGGUGAAAGGCCAAUCAAACUUCGUGAUAGCUGGUUCUCUCCGAAAUAUAUUUAGGUAUAGCGUUGUGUCGUAAUAUAAGGGGGUAGAGCACUGAAUGGGCUAGGGCAUACACCAAUGUACCAAACCCUAUCAAACUCCGAAUACCUUAUAUGUAAUCACAGCAGUCAGGCGGCGAGUGAUAAAAUCCGUCGUCAAGAGGGAAACAACCCAGACUACCAGCUAAGGUCCCUAAGUCUUACUUAAGUGGAAAACGAUGUGAAGUUACUUAAACAACCAGGAGGUUGGCUUAGAAGCAGCCAUCCUUUAAAGAAAGCGUAAUAGCUCACUGGUCUAGUGAUUUUGCGCGGAAAAUAUAACGGGGCUAAAGUAAGUACCGAAGCUGUAGACUUAGUUUACUAAGUGGUAGGAGAGCGUUCUAUUUGCGUCGAAGGUAUACCGGUAAGGAGUGCUGGAGCGAAUAGAAGUGAGCAUGCAGGCAUGAGUAGCGAUAAUUAAUGUGAGAAUCAUUAACGCCGUAAACCCAAGGUUUCCUACGCGAUGCUCGUCAUCGUAGGGUUAGUCGGGUCCUAAGUCGAGUCCGAAAGGGGUAGACGAUGGCAAAUUGGUUAAUAUUCCAAUACCAACAUUAGUGUGCGAUGGAAGGACGCUUAGGGCUAAGGGGGCUAGCGGAUGGAAGUGCUAGUCUAAGGUCGUAGGAGGUUAUACAGGCAAAUCCGUAUAACAAUACUCCGAGAACUGAAAGGCUUUUUGAAGUCUUCGGAUGGAUAGAAGAACCCCUGAUGCCGUCGAGCCAAGAAAAGUUUCUAAGUUUAGCUAAUGUUGCCCGUACCGUAAACCGACACAGGUGGGUGGGAUGAGUAUUCUAAGGCGCGUGGAAGAACUCUCUUUAAGGAACUCUGCAAAAUAGCACCGUAUCUUCGGUAUAAGGUGUGGUUAGCUUUGUAUUAGGAUUUACUCUGAAAGCAAGGAAACUUACAACAAAGAGUCCCUCCCGA